rnacentral:rRNA from 1 species
CCUACGGGAGGCAGCAGUGAGGAAUAUUGGUCAAUGGACGAGAGUCUGAACCAGCCAAGUAGCGUGAAGGAUGACUGCCCUAUGGGUUGUAAACUUCUUUUAUAUGGGAAUAAAAUGUUCCACGUGUGGGAUUUUGUAUGUACCAUAUGAAUAAGGAUCGGCUAACUCCGUGCCAGCAGCCGCGGUAAUACGGAGGAUCCGAGCGUUAUCCGGAUUUAUUGGGUUUAAAGGGAGCGUAGGUGGAUUGUUAAGUGAGUUGUGAAAGUUUGCGGCUCAACCGUAAAAUUGCAGUUGAAACUGGCAGUCUUGAGUACAGUAGAGGUGGGCGGAAUUCGUGGUGUAGCGGUGAAAUGCUUAGAUAGCACGAAGAACUCCGAUUGCGAAGGCAGUUCACUGGACUGCAACUGACACUGAGGCUCGAAAGUGUGGGUAUCAAACAGGAUUAGAUACCCGAGUAGUC